UACGAGGGGGGCAAGCGUUGUUCGGAUUUAUUGGGCGUAAAGGGUGCGUAGGCGGUUUGGCAAGUCUGAUGUGAAAUCUCUGGGCUUAACCCAGAGGCUGCUUUCAAAACUGCCGUGCUCGAGUGCGAGAGAGGUCAGUGGAAUUGCAGGUGUAGCGGUGAAAUGCGUAGAUAUCUGCAGGAACACCCGUGGCGAAGGCGGCUGACUGGAUCGCAACUGACGCUGAGGAACGAAAGCUAGGGGAGCAAACAGG
rnacentral:rRNA from 1 species